UUGGGACAUCAGAACAAGGUGGCCUAGAAUAAGGGUUAAGAUUUGUUUGUGUUGGUUUAAUUAUAUUGUUUCCCUGAUGAUAAUGCUCUAGAGCAAUCCCAUCUUUCUGAAUACUCACUUGUAAGACGGAACUUUUGGGGGCUGAUCUGAAAAACACUUUCACUCGUUAUUUGGUCCAGCUGGGUAGCUAACAAAGAUUUAAUUCCUUGCACCUUGAAGAUGAUAGCUCUGUUAUUGUGCCUUUCCACAUAAAUGGGAAAGUUUGAUAGGCCUUUGGAGGUUAAAUAAGUGGACCAAACAUCAUGGAGUACUCCAAUACAUGAUUACUUGCUUGUAAUGUUGCUUUGUUAUCAAAUGAGCAUUGUUUAGCUUCUUCUUGAAUACCGGGCACAUUAUGCAUUUUGUGCUUGCCCAUAGAUGUAGCAGCUUGCUUCGAUGUAGCAUGACUCUUAUGUACUACAAUCACUGAUAACCUCAACAAAAUUAGAAAAUGCAUAUAUUAACUUCAAUCUGCUAAUUUUCG
rnacentral:lncRNA from 1 species